GCGCAUAUAAAGGGGGUGGGAGCAAAGAAGAUGCUCUGUUGUGUGUAUUACACAGAAUACACUGUCCUCCAAACCACAUAAAAUGAAACAUGUUUAUCGAUGUUACACAUGCAUUAAAAACUGUAAGACUGCAAAGGUCAGUGCAUAGGUUGUCAUAGCUAAAGGUAAACAGCAAAAUCAUCAGAUGAGUUGAGUCCUUGAUCAACAGAUGGCAGUUAGCGGUGACUGUACUGAGGACGUAAAAGAAUACAAGUACUUAGGGACAGUGACUGAAGAAAAACUGGCAGGAUUCAAAAGCUAGAUUACAAUGAUUAUACUUCAAGAGGAGUUUGAGACAGACAUACGCUGGUUCUUUUUUUCUUUUUCUUUUUUGUUUGUUUUUUUGCAGAGAGCAUUCUAACUUCUUGUUUUAUUGCAUGGUAUUUUUCACUGUCUGUAGUUAACAAGAACAAACUGAGUAGGAUUACAAACAUGGACAGAAAGAUUUGAGGUCAGCUACAACACAGUACGAUUCACCUUUGGGAGUCCUGAGUGGUGAAUAAGGGGUGAUGUAUCCUUAGCAAUGUGUCACACCUUCUUCAUCGUGAAGACACCUUGCUAACAUCAUGACAGAAGUACAGGGUACCACUUUUGUAUGUAUUGUGUGCCCAGAGGACUUUUAUACCUUGUAAAUGGACUGGUUCUUAUAGCGCUUUUUUACUCUAUCUGAGCAACUUGUACAUUCACACAAGCACUUUUUUCUAUGCUGUUCCUAAGUGCUUCAUAUCAGACAUUCACACCUCCAAUAGAUGCAUCAGAGAGCACCAUGAUGUUAGUAUUUGCCCAAGGAUAUUUGGCAUGGAGCAGACUGGGAUCGAACCACCAACCUUCCGGUUAGUAGUUUACCUGAGCCACCUUAGUUACAACCAUCCCAAGGUAACACAGCUGAUAUUAUAUGGGUGUGAUUUGCACACAGCUGUGGUUUGUUUUUACUAUUACUUAUUGUUAAUACCUUGAAUUUCUGUAACUGUGGAGUCUUAAUUGUUGUGGUUGUAUUUGCCUGGCCUGGAUUUUUGGUGUCCAAAAGGCAAACUACUUUUCUGAAGAAGAUAUUGAAUCUGCACACUUGUGAUGAAAUUGCUUAUAGUGCAAUAAUACAUCCUUAUGUCUUCCUUUGUGUCCCACUUUUAUUUUUUAUUUUUUGGAGUUUUGCAUUUUUCUAUGAAUUUUCUGAAAGAAGUGCAUUAGAAAUUGUUGUUGUUUUAAUGGUUAGUAAC
ensembl:lncRNA